GAUGAAGAACGUAGUGAAAUGCGAUAAGUAAUGUGAAUUGCAGAAUUCAGUGAAUCAUCGAAUCUUUGAACGCACAUUGCGCCCGCCAGCAUUCUGGCGGGCAUGCCUGUUCGAGCGUCAUUUCAACCCUCAAGCUCUGCUUGGUGUUGGGGCCCUACGGUUGACGUAGGCCCUUAAAGGUAGUGGCGGACCCUCUCGGAGCCUCCUUUGCGUAGUAACUAACGUCUCGCAUUGGGAUUCGGAGGGACUCUUGCCGUAAAACCCCCAAAUUUUCUAAUGGUUGACCUCGGAUCAGGUAGGAAUACCCGCUGAACUUAAGCAUAUCAAUAACGGAGGA
rnacentral:misc_RNA from 1 species